rnacentral:rRNA from 1 species
AUGCCGUUGCCGUCGCUGAGGUACUGGAUUUCGCGGACAGACAUCACCAGGAGGCGGAGCGAGAGGACUGGGAGGCGGUGCUGCAAGGGCGGCAUUACGCCGACGAAUGCGCAGAUGACGAUGAGGACAGCAAGACGACGACAGCGCAGACCGUGGACACCCGGCGGCCGAACCACCAUAUCUCCGAACAAACAUUGUCCAGGGAUACAGAAAUCAAAGGCUUUUCUGUGGACUCGAUACCACCAGCUACACCUCCUACACCGACCCUCACCAGCUCGGCCGGGUCCGAUGAGAUACGCUUCAUGUGAAUUUGGUGGUGAUGACAGAUGCCCACACAACCCUGUCCCUAUGCUACAGUUCCUUGAUGUCAUGGUCGAGCUGUAUACGAAAUCUUACUGUUUUGUCAAGUUUAUGCGUGACAAUAUGGUACAAUCAAAUAAUAUCGAGGUCUAUGGCGUGAUCGCAGUAAGGGAUCACCUGGAUUUCUCGCGCAACUACAUUUUCCAUUGCUCUAGAGAGAAUGCACAAGCAAUUGACCCAAAAGGUGGCUAUUUAUGCCUGAGGAAUCCUGCAAGAGGAAUACUCGCAACAUGCUGCUUGAUCGAAAUUGAUAUAAAGGCGAAGGCCAAGGUGGUUGAUGAAGACUUAAGUAUUGUCUCCGGUUGCCUGAAAGCAUGUGAACAGUUUGACCCGUGGAGACUGAACCAUGUCGAUGAUAUCAACGGCAAGAUUACACUGGAAACAUGUGUUGUUCCUAGAGGCAUGGAGGCUACUAUAGACCUGGAUUUUGUGGAGGUGCCUGCAGAUGGCUUUCUUGUGCGCAUGCGUGGCAACACUGUCCUUUCCCAAGGCUCCUACUCCUUCAUUGAUGAGCACUGCCGUGACACAGUGGGUUUUAUACCAUCCAGCGGGAAGCACAUUCAAAAAUUCGUUGCAGCCGUGAAUCUAGGGGACACGCUGCGGAUAGACUUCAUGGAGGAGGGCCAAGACGCGCUUUCGUUUGUGGCGUCCAAGCAUGACGAAGAGGAGCAAAUGUAUCGGUUUAGCAAUGGAGCGUUGGUCUCGGUGCGAGUUGUGUGGUCAACCAUAUUAAGUGUAGACGACUAUGAAGAAUGA